AUGCCGCCAAGGAAGUGCCCGAGAUCAGAUGGCUAUCUUCACUAUAGAAAGAAAACAAUAACUGGUAGUCUUGUUUGUGUUGGACACGAUGAUUAUUACAUGUUGGUACACUCAUUUUCCAAGCUUGCAGAGGUUGAUAUUAGGGUUAUUCAUGCCAGUGUGAUAAAACUUGAGAGGAGACUUGCCUGGAUAGAAGAAAAAAUAGGCAGAAGCUUGGAUGCCUUGUGGAAUCUGCCAAGCUAA
rnacentral:rRNA from 1 species